GACCUCCUUCACCCGUCAAUUUUUCAGAUUUCUUUCUCUCUCUUCCUUCAAUUUUCUCUCUCCUCCUGUGAAUUCUCUGUGGCUCUGCUAAUGCCUCUUCAUCUUCUUCAACUUCCUUGCAUAUCUCUUUAGGUUCUUUGCGACCUUCUUCAAUUCUCCAGGGUUGUCGAUAUCUUAGCACCAUACCAAAGGGGAGGAAAGAUUGGGCUGUUUGGAGGUGCUGGUGUCGGGAAAACUGUGCUUAUUACGGAACUUAUUAACAACUUUGCCAAAGCUCGUGGUGGUUUCUCUGUGUUUGCUGGAGUUGGUGAGCGUACCCGUGAGGGUAAUGAAUUGUACACAGAAAUGAUUGAGAGUGGUGUCAUCUAGCUAGGUGAAAAGCAGGUUGACAGCAAAUGUGUUAUUGUCUACGGUCAAAUGAAUGAGCCCCCAAGUGCUCGUGCCUAUGUUGGUCUUACUGGACUGACUAUUGCUGAGAACUUCCGCGAUGUUGAGGGACAAGACGUGUUGCUUUUUAUUGACAACAUUUUCCAUUUUACCCUAUAGUCUUUGAAGCAUUGAUGUCUCCUGAAAAUGAUCAAGAAAUUCCGAGAGGCUGGAAGGACUGUUGCAGCCUUUCAGGUCAGUUGAGGGUGGUCUGCCUUACAGUGAUUCCCUGUUGGUUUGCAGUCAAAAGGUGUUCAACCUCAGCCACCACCGCCACCGAAAAGUGUUCGACCUCCUCCUGCACCUCCAAAAGCAGGUGUUAUAGGGCCUUCCAGCCGAGGAAGGUCAGCUUCUGGUGAUGGUAGUGACUCUGCAGGCGAUCCUGAUGCCCUAAGAACAAAGCUAAAACUAUUCUUCUGGGAUAAAGUGGUUGGUAAUCCUGAGCAGUCUAGGGUGUGGGAUGAAAUUCGAGCAGGAUCAUCCAGAAAGACUCUAAAACACCUCAUAUCUUCUUUGAAUGAAUUUUCUCAUUGUUAUAUGUAAAUUGGGAAGGAGAAGUAAGUUUAGCCUAAGAUGUUGGGUUCAAAACUCCCUCACCAUUGUGAUGUUGGUUUACAUUUGCAAUAUUCUGAAAUGCUUUCCUAA